rnacentral:rRNA from 1 species
GAACUCUUACAGGCUCAAUACGACUAACUAUAGGGUAUCUCGCAUGCAGGCCUCUGGAUAAGGCCCGGGGCCUUUAGUUUCGUGGUGGAUUGAACCAGGCGUCACGGCUUAAGGGCCUUCUGGUUCGAUUCUGCCCAGGAUCCGGAUAUCGGCUACUACAUCACCCUUAGGCCGGGGCGCGAAAAUUACACAAUCCUGACUCCGGGGGUGGUGACAAGAUAUACUAACUCGAUUUUUAAUCUCGAUUGUAGUGAGGGUUUUCUAAAUCGAAGCUAUAGUACGAUUAGAGGGCAAGUCGGGUGCCAGCUGCCGCGGUAAUUCCAGCUCUACUAGCGUAUAUUACCGUUGCCGCAGUUUAAAGCUCUUUUUUUUUAUUUUUAGGAAAGUAUGCUCGUAUGAGUUUACAUCCUACUAGUCUUUGACUGUUACUGUGAGAAAUUAUAGUGUUUCAAGCACGCUUUAACAGAUACAUAGCAUGGCAUACGAUGACAGAAAAGACACAAAUUACGAUUAUAGAGACAGCUGGGGGGCAUAGCAUCUGUCUCUUCUCUUACUGUUGACAUUCUGGACUUGUUAAAGACUAGCGUAUGCACAGCAUUGGCACGACGUUUUAUUAGUCAUAGCCACGAUAGGGAUCUAGACAUCCAUUCUGUCGAGUCUAUCUUUAACUAUGCGACUAGGGAUCGGAUGGAUCCACCCAUUUCAGUUCCUUAUGAAAUCAGUCUUGGUCUAGGGGGAGUUGACGCAAACUGACCUUAUAAUUGCCGAGUACCCUCGACUGGAACCUGCGCUUACUGACUCAUAGGUACCUACAGUCGACCUGUACGAUGAGAUGAGCGUAUCGGAUCUAGGUGGGCAG